AGCGAACGCUGGCGGCGUGCUUAACACAUGCAAGUCGAACGAUGAACCACUUCGGUGGGGAUUAGUGGCGAACGGGUGAGUAACACGUGGGCAAUCUGCCCUUCACUCUGGGACAAGCCCUGGAAACGGGGUCUAAUACCGGAUAACACUGCCACGGGCAUCUGUGGUGGUUAAAAGCUCCGGCGGUGAAGGAUGAGCCCGCGGCCUAUCAGCUUGUUGGUGAGGUAAUGGCNCACCAAGGCGACGACGGGUAGCCGGCCUGAGAGGGCGACCGGCCACACUGGGACUGAGACACGGCCCAGACUCCUACGGGAGGCAGCAGUGGGGAAUAUUGCACAAUGGGCGAAGGCCUGAUGCAGCGACGCCGCGUGAGGGAUGACGGCCUGG
rnacentral:rRNA from 1 species